rnacentral:lncRNA from 1 species
UUGGCAAGUUGGAGUACCAGUAUUUAUGCUCUCUUUCUCCGUCUAAAGGUACCUCUUUUUUUGCAUCAUAAAUUUGUUUGGUGAAUUGAAAUCAUGUACUAAUCUAUUUAUUAGUCUUCUUGAGGAAAACGGUAUUCUUCUCGGUUGGCAAGUUAGAGUACCGGUAUUUCUGCUCUCUUUCUCCGUAAAGGUAUGUCAAUGUAUGACUCUUCUAAUCUUAAAUAUGAUGAAAUAUUUAGAAUGAUUAGGCUCUCAAUAAUUUGAGGUGGAACUCUGUAAUAGACGACACA